rnacentral:rRNA from 1 species
GAGUGAUGAAGGUUUUCGGAUCGUAAAACUCUGUUGUUAGGGAAGAACAAGUACCGGAGUAACUGCCGGUACCUUGACGGUACCUAACCAGAAAGCCACGGCUAACUACGUGCCAGCAGCCGCGGUAAUACGUAGGUGGCAAGCGUUGUCCGGAAUUAUUGGGCGUAAAGCGCGCGCAGGCGGUUCCUUAAGUCUGAUGUGAAAGCCCCCGGCUCAACCGGGGAGGGUCAUUGGAAACUGGGGAACUUGAGUGCAGAAGAGAAGAGUGGAAUUCCACGUGUAGCGGUGAAAUGCGUAGAGAUGUGGAGGAACACCAGUGGCGAAGGCGACUCUUUGGUCUGUAACUGACGCUGAGGCGCGAAAGCGUGGGGAGCAAACAGGAUUAGAUACCCUGGUAGUCCACGCCGUAAACGAUGAGUGCUAAGUGUUAGAGGGUUUCCGCCCUUUAGUGCUGCAGCAACGCAUUAAGCACUCCGCCUGGGGAGUACGGCCGCAAGGCUGAACUCAAAGGAAUUGACGG